rnacentral:rRNA from 1 species
UACGGGGGGGGCAAGCGUUGUUCGGAAUUACUGGGCGUAAAGGGCUCGUAGGCGGCCAACUAAGUCAUACGUGAAAUCCCUCGGCUUAACCGGGGAACUGCGUCUGAUACUGGAUGGCUUGAGUUUGGGAGAGGGAUGCGGAAUUCCAGGUGUAGCGGUGAAAUGCGUAGAUAUCUGGAGGAACACCGGUGGCGAAGGCGGCAUCCUGGACCGACACUGACGCUGAGGAGCGAAAGCCAGGGGAGCAAACGGG